rnacentral:rRNA from 1 species
AUUGAACGCUGGCGGCAGGCCUAACACAUGCAAGUCGAGCGAGCGGCGGACGGGUGAGAAAUGUCUGGGGAGCUGCAUGAUGGAGGGGGAUAACUACUGGAAACGGUAGCUAAUACCGCAUACCAUCAGAUGUGCCCAGAUGGGAUUAGCUAGUAGGUGGGGUAACGGCUCACCUGGGCGACGAUCCCUAGCGGGUCUGCGAGGAUGACCAGCCACCUGUGAACGGAGACACGGGCCAGACUCCUACGUGAGGCAGCAGUGGGGAAUAUGGCACAAGGGGCGCAAGUCUCAUGCAGCCAUGCCGCGUGUGUGAAGAAGGCCUUCGGGUUGUAAAGUACUUUCAGCGGGGAGGCGUUACCCACAGAAGAAGCACCGGCUAACUCAGUGCCAGCAGCCGCGGUAAUAC